rnacentral:rRNA from 1 species
GCAAAACGCGAAGAACCUUACCAGGUCUUGACAUCCCUCUGACCGGUCCGUAACGGGACCUUUCCUUCGGGACAGAGGAGACAGGUGGUGCAUGGUUGUCGUCAGCUCGUGUCGUGAGAUGUUGGGUUAAGUCCCGCAACGAGCGCAAACCCCUAUCCUUAGUAGCCACGCAGUUCGGUCUGGGCGACUCUAGGGAGACUGCCAGGGAGUAACCUGGAGGAAGGCGGGGAGUGACGUCAAAUACAUCAUGCCCCUUACUGAUCUGGGCUACACACGUGCUACAAUGGUGACUACAAAGGGAAGCAGCCUCGUGAGAGUGAGCAAAUCCCAAAAAGGUACAUCCCAGUUCGGAUUGUAGUCUGCAACUCGACUACAUGAAGCUGGAAUCGCUAGUAAUCGCGAAUCAGAAUGUCGCGGUGAAUACGUUCCCGGGUC